UUGUGUCGUAGUGGUUUCCCACCAGCAGCAUGGGGGAGGCGGUGUCCUCUGCAGCUAGGUCUACUUGCUGGCGACCUCACCGUCACCAGCCCAUCUGCAGGUAUGCUAGCUCCUCUUCUAUUAAUGCAAAAAGGAGAUGCUCAAAUGGAUUGAGUGGUACCCUCCUGAAAGUAUUGUAGGGAUGGACAUAUGGAUUGAUUGGUAGGCCCCUGAAAGCUACACAGAUCUGAACCAAUAACUUUAAUGAGAAUGUGUAUCCCAGCUCCUUUUAUAAUCUUGAAUCCUUCUCGGUCCUACUAAACUGUAACUCAUGUUUAUUUUUGGAAACAAUAUUUUGGACAUUCCUAACCUGGUCAAGGGAAUGUAUUUCCCACCUACAGUGAGAGACACAUACGAAGUAGGUCCUACUAAACACCUAAAAGGAUGAGUUACAGUAGGUGUGCAUAGAGUACUAACAUUUUUGCUAUCUUUAUGCUCCUCCAUAUGGAUGGGAACUAAAAGGAUGAUGAUAUUAGUCUACCUUUCAAUAUUUGGUGGCGCAUAUUUAAGAAAAUCACAGCUAAGCAUGUCACUUUCUAAAAAGACGCUUGACUGGAAUGUAUAUGUAUAUAGUUAAUAAAAUCAUAGUGACUGAUUGUCCAGUUCCUCUGUUUAGAUUAGAGGUGUCUGCAUGCAUCCAAGUGAUCAGUCUUUCCAGCUCAAAAGAGAAAGUGACCGAUGUUUUGGCAUAUUUUCCUAUUAGGAAUAAAUGGAUAUGCCCAUGCACGUAUGCACACAGAUUUCAGGUUACAGUUUAAUUAGGAAACAGAUGAUACCUCAUUGUGUCGUCUUGGUCUAAGAAGAGGGGAUAUACUUGGUGAAUAUAUAUGUUCCACCCGACCGUUAAUUUUAGAGAAAAGGACAUGCACUUCAGUAGCAAAAAUUUGAUUGUUAUGUACUAUCUGUAAUGCUAAGCAUUUAUUUGCUAAUAUCUCCUCAUCUGAAUUUGUAUUUUGUGCCAUUUGGCCUUUUAACUAUAUGGGCAUCUGCAGAUGGUCUGAAAACCAAGAUAUGCCACAGAUAAUAACUAUACGGGCUGCUCCAGAUGGACUAAGAAUGGAACCAUAUCCUAGGCCUACAUGCUAAUAUUGUACAACAAUGAAUAUCUUCACUUAUUUAUACUUAAUCAGCUGUGUAAUAAUAAGCGUGAUAUUAGCUUUCGUACCCAUCUUCAUGGUUGAAAUACUUUUCUGCAAUCUGUGACACAUUUGCUUCAGUUUCCAUAUGUCUUGCUUCAUGCUAUCAACAUUGUUAAUCAUUUAUCUUUAUCUUUCUUUCCCUUUACAGCCUACUUGAAUGGAUAUGGUUCCUGAGAGACCAUUUCUUAUGCAUCAGGUCCUGAAGGUGGAUGUUGCUUGUUUAGAUAUCUAUGAUUCCAAAUUAUUCAAAACGGUUCAUGUUAUACUGGAUGCUAUUUUAUUGAGAGUGGCUUCGAACAAUAUGGCAUGAACAUAUUUGUUCUUUGGCCAAUAAUGGAAUGAUCUUUGUGCAUAUAAAAUGGUUAUCGAUACCAUAAUUCUGUAAUACAAUCCACAUUGCAUCAUCU
rnacentral:lncRNA from 1 species